rnacentral:rRNA from 1 species
GUGCCAGCAGCCGCGGUAAUACGUAGGGGGCUAACGUUGCUCGGAAUUACUGGGCGUAAAGGGUGUGUAGGUGGCUGUGCAAGUCAUUGAUGAAAUCCCGAGGCUACAACCUCGGAAUUGUCUCUGAAGCUGCACAGCUUGAGGAUAUUUGAGGAAAACGGAAUUCCCGGUGGAGCGGUGAAAUGCGUAGAUAUCGGGAGGAACACCAGAGGCGAAGGCGGUUUUCUAGAGUAUUCCUGACACUGAGACACGAAAGCUAGGGGAGCGAACGGGAUUAGAUACCCCGGUAGUCC